GCCGGGAUAGCUCAGUGGUAGAGCGCUGCCCUGAAGAGGCAGGCGUCCCCAGUUCGAAUCUGGGUCCCGGCA
rnacentral:tRNA from 1 species